UACGAAGGGGGCUAGCGUUGCUCGGAAUCACUGGGCGUAAAGGGUGCGUAGGCGGAUUUUUAAGUCAGGGGUGAAAUCCCGAGGCUCAACCUCGGAACUGCCUUUGAUACUGGAGAUCUUGAGUCCGGAAGAGGUAAGUGGAACUGCGAGUGUAGAGGUGAAAUUCGUAGAUAUUCGCAAGAACACCAGUGGCGAAGGCGGCUUACUGGUCCGGAACUGACGCUGAGGUGCGAAAGCGUGGGGAGCAAACAGG
rnacentral:rRNA from 1 species